ACACACCCCAAGUAGAUCAUGGCCUCCCGCCUGCAGCUCUUAGCGCACCCCCAGAAGCCCCAAAUCGGCCGAGCCUCCGGAAUUUCUCCCCUCCGGCGAGAGUGCCGGCCACCCAAGCCGGUCAGCUUCCCCGCUCUCAGUGACCCCCUCCCCUUGCUCUCCUCUGCAAAAGCCUCUAGGAAGCCCCUUUAGCCCAUUCCCCGCCCAAUUUAGCCUACGAAACCCUCUGGCUGGAUCCCAUUCUGCACCAAAGCCCUCCGUCCAGCAUGGUUGGAGGUGUGCUCGCCAGCGACCUCCCAGCAAUCUGUGCGCCCUCCAGAGGAUGGGGUCCUCACCUUUGACCACACUGGUGUGCUCAGCUCCGGGAGCGGAGCUUCCUAGCGCCGGCGAGAGUCGUCGGAGCGCACCUUUGACCCUGUCCCCUCCGUGCGAGAGGAGGAAGGGAAACCUGACAGGCAGGCGCCACAUAUCAGCAAAGCAAGCCCCUUAGGAAAUUGGAGAAAGGAAACCCCCUUCAAGAUGUUGGGGUGCACACCACCCUCCUCAACUCCUAAGG